AUGCUGCUUGAGGCAGAAACAAAGGAGAAACAUCCCUUAAAGCUACCACCAACAAAGCUGUCAUCUAACUCAGGCUGGGGAGACAUAAGCACCCUUCCCAUUCCCCAGUGUCAGUCUAAGUCCAGCCACUGGAUAACUACACUGAGGGUUAAGACAGGUCAGAAGGAGGCUGGGGAUUUAGCUCAGUGGUUCCACCACCUGUCCAGCAAGUGCAAGUACCCAGGUUCAAUCCCUGGUACCAAAAAAAAAAAAAAGACACAUCAGAAGGUCAGAACCCAGAAUGAUCUUGCUAAUGAUUGUCACCCUAAUUAGUUCCUGUCACCAGGUCUAGAUUCUUCUCUCUGUGCUCUUAACUGCACUCUGAGAGUGUUUCUUUAAUCUCAUUAUUUCCCUGGAUGAUUCUGUCCCCUUCCACACCUCCUUAUGUAAUGACUGUCUGGAUUCUUCUCAAAACAAAAUUUUUUUUUUGAGACAGUCUUGCUCUGUAGUUCAGGCUGGCCUUGAAUUCACUAUGGAGUUCAGCUGGCCUCAGAUGUGGAGUGAUCCUUCUGCAUCAGCCUCCCAAGUGCUGGGAUUAUAGGCACACACCACCAUGCUCAGCCCAUUCUUCUUAAAGUAUUUUGUAGAAUGGUUUUCAAUGGCUGGUUACAAUUUCCAUUUGAAUAUCUUUCUUUUGAAGGCAGCCUGUCCAUAUCUGAAGCUAUCGCAUUCCUUUUCAGCUUGACAUGACUAUAGCCAUCUUGGUCAUAACUACCACUAUGUCCACCACCUGGCAUGCACUGUAUAUCCUACUGGACAAGCCAAGUCUGCAAACUGGUUAGCUGAGGGAUUCAUGUCUGCCAUUGAUGCCUGCAGUGCUUUUUAAGUGGUGACGAACAUUAAUAGCUGUGAGGAAGCCCAGGAACACUGUAGUUGAUCAUAGGUCACUCUUAUCUAGUCUAACAUAUAAACCCUUUCCCCCUGCCUAGGGGUGUGCAGAUCGCCCUCUCUUGCUAUUUAUCCCAGACAAACUUAUGUCCAUAACACCCUAUUAAAUGGUACUUUGUGCAAUACUGGAUUUGUCUGCUUUCUUUGGUCUUUCAGCACCUUCUGCCUUUGGUAGCUAGUUCAUGUAAACUGGGUUUUUCCAAAACAAUUUCUUUUCAAAGCUUUUUUUUGGUAUGCUUCCCAGUUUAGGAUGACCUUUUCAAUGACUCCCAGAAAUUCUUAGUUUCAUCUCGCAAUCUUUUUUCUCCUGCAUUCCAAGUCCAGGUGGUCAUUAAAUUCUUUGAAAUCCCACCAGUGAAAUGUCCCUAACACCGAAACUAGUCUAUCCAUGUUCAGGAUCUUCUUAUUCUGUAUAUAAAUUGCUGCUAACUCUGAAUUUGUUCUUCUGACUCCAGUGUCUCACCUUUCUAGCAAUAUUUUCCACUAGAUUUAUCCCUCACGGUACAUAGAACUCCUCUUGUUACUUCAAAAAGUACUGAUUGCUUCUUACUUUACUUAUUCAUCAAAUAUUUACAAAACACGUAGUUAUGUUAGGUUCCAUCCUAGGCACUGGUGAUCCACAAUACACUAUACAUCUGGUAAUGAAAAGAAAGUUCAUUUCUUCAAACAGUUCACAUUUUGGCAUACAAGUGAAGAAAUUAAUAAGCAAUCACAACACAAUGUGAUUGCUCCUACAACAAAAACCAGGCAGAACUGGAUGCGAACAUGAGGUUAGAAGAGCAUUCCAAGUGUCCUUAGAUAGUGGACAGAACAGGUAUGGAAGGGAUAUGGGUGCCAGUUGGAGUUUUCUGACAUCUAUAAUGAGAUUUUAAAGGAGGACCCACUGGCUGAAGGCAGCAACAAUCUUUUAAACACAAGCCAAUGUUCCAGACUUAUGUUUUAAGUUUCCUUCCUCACUUUAUCCUAUGGCCAGUCAGAUUCAAAGGUCACUUGCAUUUGCAGUUUUGCAAGACUUCUGGAGUCAGAGAAUGAGGGAGCUAUAUGCUGGGAAUUAUACACACAACUACGUAGAUACGCACAUUUAUAAACAUUUUCCAUAAUGUGGAAAAUAGAAAUGCUAGUUUGGAAAUUUUGUUAGCAACCAAUUUUUAAAUCUUUUACUUAUGGGAAAUUUACAGCUUAUACAAAAGUAGAGUGAAUUAUAUAAUGAAUCUCCAAGCCAACUUCAACAGCUACCAACAAUGUUCCAUCUAUAACUAACUAUACUAUGGUUGACGUGUGUCACUCCCCACCCCCAAAUAUGUUACAGUCCUAACAUCUAGAACCCCAAACUGUGGCCUUAUUUAGAAAUAGGGUUUUUGCAGAUUUAAUUAAAUAAAGAUGAGAAUUUUAGGGCAGAAGCUAAUUUCAUGACAAGUGCCUUUGGAAAAUAGGGAAGCAUGGCUACUGGCAUGUACAGAGGAUACAAUACGGAGGUAGAGGGGGAGACAGGAUUGAUACAGCUGCAAGUCUGGCAACCUCAAGAAUUCCUGGCUGCCACAUAUGCCAGGAAAAAACAAGGAUGGAUUCAUCUAGUGUUCAGGGACACUGCCAAUAUUUUGAACUUGGAACUCUAGGACUGCGAAACAACACAUUUCUAUUGCUUUACACCACUUUAUUCUAUACUGACUACUGUUACUGUGGUACUUUGUUAGGGUAAACCCCAAAAACUCUUCCACCAAAUUAUGCUAAAGCACAUCUCAGCCAUCAAUCACUUUAUCCAAAAAUGUAUUAAACUAUUUAUUACUUCUACCAAAAUUAACAUUAUUGUUUGCACUUAUUUUUGCCCUUAGGAUAUAAACUACAAAUAAACUGCUGUGAUAUAAAGGAACUUGAAAUAAUUCUCUAUAGUGCUAAGCCACCAACCUGAAACACAAUUAGGGUCAUUUGUUUCAUUAAGUUUUCAAUAUUUAGAGGUCGUUUUCUCAUUUUAAUGUAAUUUUGGUUUUUA
rnacentral:lncRNA from 1 species